rnacentral:rRNA from 1 species
CAACGCGACCCCAGUCA